rnacentral:lncRNA from 1 species
ACGUGACCCUGAUUAUUAUUGAAACGAGAACGAGGGCGUCGUGCCUUUAUAAGACUGCGUUAAUGUUUCCGUAGAGUUAUCCCUUCCGUUGUUGUUUAUUGAUUGUUAAACAUGGCUUCAUUUGCAAAGGUGGUUGUGUGUGUCCUCAUUGCUUUGUCUGUAAUGGUAAGUUUUCCCCUUGUUUCUGUUAGUUGCUUUUUAUCUUGAAAUUCUGUCUGAAAUAGUCACUCGUUUUGUCUUCCUUUGAACAGCAUUCUGUUUUCCGAAGAGAGAUGUGAACUUUAAGGCUUCUGCAGUUGACCGCCAAAGUGAUGAUGUGGUUGUCACCACAACACCCGUUCCCCACAACCAGACCACAUCUGCCCAUACUGAAGCUGGUGGUGGUGCAAGUGAAGAUGCUGUGGCUACUACCCCAGCACCUAAUCCACACAACCAGACAACUUCUGCACAAACUGAAGUUACUGAUGGAGCCAGUGAAGAUGCUGUGGACCGCCAAAGUGAUGUGGUUGUCGCCACAACACCCGAGACCCACAACCAGACCACAUCUACCCAUACUGAAGCUGGUGGUGGUGCAAGUGAAGAUGCUGUGGCUACUACCCCAGCACCUAAUCCACACAACCAGACAACUUCUGCACAAACUGAAGUUACUGAUGAAGCCAGUGAAGAUGCUGUGGACCGCCAAAGUGAUGAUGUGGUUUCCACCACAACACCCAAUCCCCACAACCAGACCACAUCUGCCCCUACUGAAGCUGAUGGAGCAAGUGAUGAUGCAAGUGAAGAUGAUGAUGAUGCAGCAAGUGAAGAUGCUGUGGCUACCACCCCAACACCAAAUCCCCCAACUACAUCUGACCACACUGCAGCUACCGAUGAUGCAAGUGAGGGUGCUGUGGCUGCCCAAACUGGAACUACUGUAUCCCAUACGACUGAAGUCUGAUUCGACUGCUCCUCUGGUCACAAUGACCUGAGUCACUGUCUGGACUUUUUGCCUCUACAUGUUGACUGCAAUAAAGGACAGAUUUGUUUUUUGAAUCA